rfam:Allomyces macrogynus ATCC 38327 genomic scaffold supercont3.71, whole genome shotgun sequence.
GCUGUCUUAGUAUAGUGGUUAGUACUCCACGUUGUGGCCGUGGUAGCCCCAGUUCGAUUCUGGGAGACAGCA